AGAUCACAUUCAUACUCAACGAGAUUUGGCUGUAGAGUACGUACUCUUUUAGUGCUCGUUAAGUAAGUACUUAUUGAAAAUAAGUACCUACUCAUUGAGUAUGCGGUUUCGAACGCACCCACAGAGUGAUACCAAUUCUCUCAUCAAAUACUGCAGCAGGUCAUCAGCAGCGAUGUCGAGGGCCAGUGCUGCCGGGACUGUGUACUCCUCAUAUGCGUCAGACAGCAGAACUGUGGCACCUCCGUCUCCCUCCAACACCCCGAUGAAGCUGAAUAGCUGGAUGAGUUCAGCUUGGGAGAAGGUUUGAGACUCGCCCUGAGGCACGAAAUCUCAAUGUGAUCUCCCAGGCUGAGCUCCACCAGGGCCUCGUCACGCCACAGGGACACCUCCACCACCACCUGGCCACACCGGAGAGACAGGUCUCUGAUGGGGACCUCUCCAUCACCCACUCGGGUCAUCCUGGGGACCUGCAACUGCAUGAUCACAAGGAGAGAUGAACCCUCCCCUUGUGAAUAGGUCCUGCUCUUCCCCAGACAGCAGGGCAGUUGGUGGAUUCAGGAGGUAUUUCGCUGACCUUUCUGCCUCCUCUGGCAACUCGAAG